AGUGAACGCUGGCGGUAGGCCUAACACAUGCCAGUCGAACGGCAGCACAGUAAGAGCUUGCUCUUACGGGUGGCGAGUGGCGGACGGGUGAGGAAUACAUCGGAAUCUACUUUUUCGUGGGGGAUAACGUAGGGAAACUUACGCUAAUACCGCAUACGACCUACGGGUGAAAGCAGGGGAUCUUCGGACCUUGCGCGAUUGAAUGAGCCGAUGUCGGAUUAGCUAGUUGGCGGGGUAAAGGCCCACCAAGGCGACGUUCCGUAGCUGGUCUGAGAGGAUGAUCAGCCACACUGGAACUGAGACACGGUCCAGACUCCUACGGGAGGCAGCAGUGGGGAAUAUUGGACAAUGGGCGCAAGCCUGAUCCAGCCAUACCGCGUGGGUGAAGAAGGCCUUCGGGUUGUAAAGCCCUUUUGUUGGGAAAGAAAAGCAGCAGGUUAAUACCCCGCUGUUCUGACGGUACCCAAAGAAUAAGCACCGGCUAACUUCGUG
rnacentral:rRNA from 1 species